GGAAUUGUAGCUCAGUUGGUAGAGCCUUUGCCUAGCAUGCACAAAGGCCUGGGUUCAAUCCCUAGCAUUUCCC